UAACUUCUGUAAGUUCCAAUGUGUCU
rnacentral:piRNA from 1 species